GCCAGCUUGGCGCAGUGGUAGUAAGUUGACGAAAUUCUUCCGUCAAACUCGAUCGUAAGGACUAACCAAUUCCAGACGCGUCGCACUUGUAUCUCUCAAGCAAAUGCGAAGAUCACUGGUUCAAUUCCAGUAGUUGGCA